rnacentral:rRNA from 1 species
GACGAACGCUGGCGGCGUGCUUAACACAUGCAAGUCGAACGGAAAGGCCUCUUUCGGGGGGUACUCGAGUGGCGAACGGGUGAGUAACACGUGAGUAACCUGCCCUUGACUUUGGGAUAACUUCAGGAAACUGGGGCUAAUACCGGAUAGGAGCUCCUGCUGCAUGGUGGGGGUUGGAAAGUUUCGGCGGUUGGGGAUGGACUCGCGGCUUAUCAGCUUGUUGGUGGGGUAGUGGCUUACCAAGGCUUUGACGGGUAGCCGGCCUGAGAGGGUGACCGGCCACAUUGGGACUGAGAUACGGCCCAGACUCCUACGGGAGGCAGCAGUGGGGAAUAUUGCACAAUGGGUGGAAGCCUGAUGCAGCAACGCCGUGUGCGGGAUGACGGCCUUCGGGUUGUAAACCGCUUUCGCUCAUGACGAAGCUUUGUGUGACGGUAAUGGGUAAAGAAGCACCGGCUAACUACGUG